AACUAUCCGUUUUAAAAAUGUGUCCACCGUGGACUUCGUUUCCGAGGCACGGACGGGGAUCGAGCCCGCGAUCUUCGGUUUACGAGACCGACGCCUUACCACUUGGCCACCGCGCCUGGUAAUAGUGCGAAGGAAAAAUAUGAGUUUUCAAACCUUUUUCCUGCCAAUUGACUGAAUCCGUUUGGAAAAUGUUAUGGAUGAUACAAAUAUAUUUAUUGAUAGUAGCACGUUUUUAUGACGAGCAAUCUCAAACAUACAUCUCCAAACCAAGACACACCGUGUCAUCUUCCAGUUGACCACUUAGCUAAAGCUUAGCUAAAACUGACGUUGGUAUAUAUCUAGCCACUGGAAGUUAGCUACACGGGUCGUUUUCAAUAUGUGACUUUAGCCGCUAGAAAGCAAAAUAGAAUAAUGAUGAUGAUGAUGAUGAUGCCCGAUACGUAUUGUGUUUAUUAUCAGCAGUGAUCGAACGUAAUGACGCUAUUUCGAACGCGCCCUGUCCACGUGUUCCUGAAUGUAGCCCUGCACCCGGAUGUAGUGGGUGACUAAGCUAAGGAUCAUGUUGCUAGCCCGGUUUGGUAUCUCGACCAUCAAACGUUAUAUGUUGACGAUUAUGUGAUUUAUAGCUAGAUAGAGAACUUGGAUGCAGAUUGCAAGCGUGGCCUUUUUUAACCUGUGCGCUUGGGUCAUUUGGGUGAGGAAGCCUUGAAAUCAGCACUACUGCAGGAGGAACCUGGGAGAGGCUGGAUAACCUGGGAGAGGCUGGAUAACCUGGGAGAGGCUGGAUAACCUGGGAGAGGCUGGAUAACCUGGGAGAGGCUGGAGAGACCCUGAACUGACACCCCAGCCCUGUUCCAAGCCGGCGUUGAUCUUCCUCGCCUCCAUGUCCCAGGUUUAGGUUAAACCCUUGAAGCUGGCGAGACCCUGAAGUCCCACCCCUGUGACAUCCCUGGGUCCCCUCCCCAGCCUCAGCACCAGCCUCAGCCCCUCUGACGACCUACCAUGCCCCUGAUCGUGGAUGCUGUGUGGGCCGUGUGGAGCAUCGGGGCCGGGGUCUAUGACUACUUCCACACCAGUGCCAUGGAGGAACGCAUCGGCAACCUGGAGAGCGUCCUGACCAUCCACCAGUGUGUCAUAGCAGCUCUGUCCGCAGGCCUCGUCCUCCUCAUGACCUACAUACUGUGGAGAAAACACUGAAACCAUGGUUGUAUUCAGUCAGUGAGAUGGCACCGGGGGGAAAGUUUUCCCCUAGGUACAGAUCUUGGAUCAUUUCCCCCUCCCUCAACCCUAUCUGUAACCAGUAGUGGGAGAAAAUACUAAACUGACCCAAGAUCAGCAUCUAGGGGCAACUUCACCCUACUCUAGCGGAGAUGGGAGAUGAGACGGUCCUAGAUACUCCAAACCUAAGGACUGCAUUAUGGAUAGCAUCGGCUACUCACCAAACUAACAGCCAGUCCCAAAUCACGCCCUAACCCUCCCCCAUUGUCUUAUGUCAUAUCAUGCGAUGACUGUCAGUUUAGGGACGGGGCAUUGUGUAGGAGUGACGCCACCUAGCAUAAGAUAAGGACCUUGGCACUAACCCUCAGGUGUUGGCAGAUCUGAAGGGUCUUGAUAGGUAUAAGCAGUGUAACACUGGAUCAUCACAUUACUACGACUACUGGAGCUCAACAGACAGUCCUCAACCCCUCCCUAGUCCUUCCCCUCGGCCCUGACCCUCAAAAGAACGGUCUGGAUAGGUAUGACAACUGGGUAGGAUUAUAGGAUUCUGUUUCAUCAAAGCACUACUAUUGGAAGACGAGCUCAAGAGACCACGAGGAGUUGCUUGUGGAAGCUUCCUGGAAGAAAGUAGCCCUGGUAUACAGUGCAAAGGCUCUACCAGAGCUUGUUGGAGUGGAUUCAUCCCUCCAGGUCUCGUUCGUUACUCUGCUGUUACUUGUGCAAAGGCUCUAUCAGAGCUGGUUGGAGUAGAGUCAUCCCUCCAGGUCUCGUUCGUUACUCUGCCGUUACUUGGAACGGGAUUGAGAGGAAGUCUGGGAGGUGAGGGUAGCUGGAGAGGGGUUCUUCAAUCUGAGAGCUCGAGUGCCGUGUUGACUGUAGCCUGGUCCCAGAUCUGUUUGUACUAUUGUGUCAACUCCAUGCCAUGCCAAACAUGGAAUUGACAUGAUAGCACCAACAGAUCUGGGACCAGUCUAUCAUGACUGGCUGUGAUUAGAAAACACUGUAUUUUGCUACUGUGUGGAUACUGACGUCUAGCCUGGUCCCUGAUCUGUUUGUGCUGUCUUGCCAACAAUGACCAUAAUGACCGUAGGAGUGGGCAAGACCAUAUAAACAGAUCUAGGACCAGGCUAACUCAGGCCCCUUGUUUAAUUUAAAACUAUCAUCCAUUGAAUGUGAUUGAUUCAUUUUGGUACUGUUAUAUUGCUGAAAGGGAUUUGUGAAACAUGGCUUCUGUCCAUGUCACUGUAGAAUAAGCCAACAUAAUAAUGACACUGUUGGGACUAAACAUUAUAAACCGCUUUUCUUAAAAAGGUGUUUAUCUUUCUCUUACAUGGAAGAUUUCAGACAGUUUAAGCCUAGUCCUUAGAAUAAAAAGCCUGGUCAAUGGAGAAUCUCCGUUAAGUUAUUAUUAUUUUUUUUAGCCCAGGACUAGACUUAAACUGUCUGAAAUCUUCCAUGUAAGAGAAAGAUAAACACUUUUUUUUAAGUUACUGUCGAGGUUAAACAUUGUUACACGUUUCCAUGACGAUGACACCUUUCAACGGUUUUCUCUGUAUUUGUAUGUCAUAACAUCUCCUUUUAAAAUCAUGCUUUUAUCAUUGUUGGAUCUGUUCCCUUUCUCCCUGGUUCACUAUUAUCAUGUCUGUCGGCCAUUGUUGGAUCUGUUCCCUGUCUCCCUGGUUCACUAUUAUCAUGUCUGUCGGCCAUUGUUGGAUCUGUUCCCUUUCUCCCUGGUUCACUAUUAUCAUGUCUGUCGGCCAUUGUUGUCGACUCAAGUGCUACUGUGUGUAUAUUGCUGAAUCACUACCUGGUUGUUGGUUUCUAUGUGAACAAACGGUAUUAAUGUCAGGUUAAUAAAUAAUGUGAUUAACUCUG